UACACACCGCCCGUCACACCACGAAAGUCGGCAACACCCGAAGCCAGUGGCCCAACCCGCAAGGGGGCAGGUGCCGAAGGUAUGGCUGGUGAUUGGGAUG
rnacentral:rRNA from 1 species